rnacentral:rRNA from 1 species
GACAGAGGGGGCAAGCGUUGCUCGGAAUUACUGGGCGUAAAGGGCGCGUAGGCGGGAUGGCAAGUCGGUCGUGAAAUCCCUCGGCUCAACCGAGGAACGUCGAUCGAUACUGCUGUUCUUGAGGAUUGCAGAGGAGACUGGAAUUCCCGGUGUAGCGGUGAAAUGUGUAGAGAUCGGGAGGAACACCGGUGGCGAAGGCGGCAUCCUGGACCGGUAUUGACGCUGAUGCGCGAAAGCCAGGGGAGCAAACGGG